rnacentral:rRNA from 1 species
UACGUAGGGUGCAAGCGUUAAUCGGAAUUACUGGGCGUAAAGCGUGCGCAGGCGGUUGUGCAAGACCGAUGUGAAAUCCCCGGGCUCAACCUGGGAAUGGCAUUGGUGACUGUACGGCUAGAGUGUGUCAGAGGGGGGUAGAAUUCCACGUGUAGCAGUGAAAUGCGUAGAGAUGUGGAGGAACACCGAUGGCGAAGGCAGCCUCCUGGGCCAGCACUGACGCUCAUGCACGAAAGCGUGGGGAGCAAACAGG